rnacentral:rRNA from 1 species
UACGUAGGGUGCAAGCGUUGUCCGGAAUUAUUGGGCGUAAAGAGCUCGUAGGCGGUCUGUCGCGUCUGCUGUGAAAACCUAGGGCUUAACUCUGGGCGUGCAGUGGGUACGGGCAGGCUAGAGUGCGGUAGGGGAGACUGGAAUUCCUGGUGUAGCGGUGAAAUGCGCAGAUAUCAGGAGGAACACCGGUGGCGAAGGCGGUUCUCUGGGCCUUACCUGACGCUGAGGAGCGAAAGCGUGGGGAGCAAACAGG